AUACGUAGGUGGCAAGCGUUGUCCGGAAUUAUUGGGCGUAAAGCGCAUGUAGGCGGUGCCUUAAGUCUGUCGUGAAACUGCGGGGCCUAACCCCGUAUGGCGAUGGAAACUGUGGCACUUGAGUGCAGGAGAGGAAAGGGGAACUCCCAGUGUAGCGGUGAAAUGCGUAGAUAUUGGGAAGAACACCGGUGGCGAAGGCGCCUUUCUGGACUGUGUCUGACGCUGAGAUGCGAAAGCCAGGGUAGCGAACGGGAUUAGAUACCCCGGUAGUCCUGGCCGUAAACGAUGGGUACUAGGUGUGGGAGGUAUCGACCCCUUCCGUGCCGGAGUUAGCGCAAUAAGUACCCCGCCUGGGGAGUACGGCCGCAAGGCUUAAACUCAAAGGAAUUGACGGGG
rnacentral:rRNA from 1 species